rnacentral:snoRNA from 1 species
AAGCCAUGGUGUGGGCACUGCCAUCUUAGCUCCUUAAAUCUCUCCCAAGACUCAGUUAGAGAUUCACUUGCCAAUUGCUUGAAACUUUGGAUUGCCCUUCUCAUCCU